UUAAAACUGACCCUGACCUUCACCAUGGAAGGGCCACCCACUCGUCCUACGCCAGACGACACUGGGAUCAGACGGGCGAUGGGCCCCACCCGAGGCCCCGGCCACGCAUCCCGGGAUGUGUCCCUAAAUUGCCGCCUGGAGCCUGCGACCCAUGCAGAUGCGCAGCCGCCAGCGUACCCCUGCUGAUCUGAAUCACCAAGUCCCAGCUCUGGCAUGUAAACAGCUCGGCAUCACUUCCAUUCUUACCACAAGAAAAGUCCUGAACAACCUGAAGAUCGAUGACUUUUCUCGGACACGUCAGAGAAUUGGGGUCAAAGGCAAACCAUCAGAAGGUCGGCCAACGCCAGCCAGCCCACAAGCACCAGAGAACAGAAACUCAGCCAGGCAGACUCCAAGAUGGUUCCAAAAAAUUGAGGCAAACACGGACGGUCAAGAGGUCCUUGGUCCUUCCCUC